UGGGGAAUCUUGCACAAUGGACGAAAGUCUGAUGCAGCAACGCCGCGUGGGGGAUGAAGCUUUUCGGAGUGUAAACCCCUUUCGACCCGGAAGAAUGCCCGCAAGGGUUUGACGGUACGGGUAUAAGAAGCCCCGGCUAACUACGUGCCAGCAGCCGCGGUAAUACGUAGGGGGCCAGCGUUGCUCGGAAUUACUGGGCGUAAAGGGUCCGUAGGCGGUGUGGCAAGUCGGGAGUGAAAUCUCUGGGCUUAACCCAGAGGCUGCUUCCGAAACUGCCAUGCUAGAGUGUGAGAGAGGCGAGUGGAAUUACGGGUGUAGCGGUGAAAUGCGUAGAUAUCCGUAGGAACAUCCGAGGCGAAGGCGGCUCGCUGGAUCACAACUGACGCUGAGGGACGAAAGCUAGGGGAGCAAACAGGAUUAGAUACCCUGGUAGUCCUAGCCCUAAACCAUCAGGACUUGGGGUGUGCCCUGUACGGGGCACGUCCCGUAGCUAACGCGUUAAGUCCUGCGCCUGGGGAGUACGGUCGCAAGGCUG
rnacentral:rRNA from 1 species